rnacentral:rRNA from 1 species
UAGCAUAUAUUAAAGUUGUUGCAGUUAAAAAGCUCGUAGUUGAAUUUCUGUUUGGUAAGAGUGCGUCAAUCGACAUAUCUCGAUACCAGACAUCUUUCUGCACUUCUACCUCUGGUAGUUGUCGUAGAACCUUUACUUUGAGAAAAUUAGAGUGUUUCAAGCAAGCGUUAGCUUUUGAAUACUACAGCAUGGAAUAAUAUUAUAGGACUUUGGUGCCUAUUUGUUGGUUUCUGGGCCUAAGGUAAUGAUUAAUAGGGACAGUUGGGGGUAUUCGUAUUUGUCAGUC